rnacentral:rRNA from 1 species
AUUGAACGCUGGCGGCAGGCCUAACACAUGCAAGUCGAGCGGAUGAAGGGAGCUUGCUCCUGGAUUCAGCGGCGGACGGGUGAGUAAUGCCUAGGAAUCUGCCUGGUAGUGGGGGAUAACGUCCGGAAACGGGCGCUAAUACCGCAUACGUCCUGAGGGAGAAAGUGGGGGAUCUUCGGACCUCACGCUAUCAGAUGAGCCUAGGUCGGAUUAGCUAGUUGGUGGGGUAAAGGCCUACCAAGGCGACGAUCCGUAACUGGUCUGAGGGGAUGAUCAGUCACACUGGAACUGAGACACGGUCCAUACUCCUACGGGAGGCAGCAGUGGGGAAUAUUGGACAAAGGGCGAAAGCCUGAUCCAGCCAUGCCGCGUGUGUGAAGAAGGUCUUCGGAUUGUAAAGCACUUUAAGUUGGGAGGAAGGGCAGUAAGUUAAUACCUUGCUGUUUUGACGUUACCAACAGAAUAAGCACCGGCUAACUUCGUG